rnacentral:sRNA from 1 species
CGGAUAAAAUUGGACGGCAGGAUGAGAACCGUAAAGGUUCGACGGCCGACCAGCGGGAGGCCGAACAGUGGAGCCUCAGCGACGCUGGCCCGAAGGGCGAGGGCGUCAGCCCGAGUAAUCCUGCCGGCCCAGCCA